ACUCUACUUCCAGUUGGCAAAAGGCAUAUUAACAAAUUAUAGAUGUAAGAAGCAGUAUAUGAGGAAAAAAAAUGUUGGCUCAUUUCUGAAGAUAUCAUUUCAUCUGUAAAAUGAUUCAGCAUUUUGGUGAUGCUUGGAUACAGAAGUACAACAUGAACUGUAUCAUCCUAAUAUUUUCAGAUCACUGCCCUAAGAUAUCUGAUAUUGAUUUAUUGAUCCCUUGAAACAAUUCUUGCCUGUUGGGCUUGAAUAAGAGGUAUCUGUAUACGAACCAAGUAGAAAACAAUAUCCCGAUAAAUUCAAACACACCUGGAAUGAGAGGCAGGCUGUCGAUUGCCGCCACAAAAUUUGAAGCAGCCCAGAAACCAACAAUAGCAGCAAUUCCCAACCCAAUUACAGCAAUCCGGUCUUCAGGGUUGUCCCAAAUAUUCUUUACUGAUUUAACAACACUUGGGGAGGAUAAGGAUUCAGAACUUUCACUAGUAGCCUUUGCUGUGAUGGCCAGGUGACCUUGUCUUGCUACAGAAACAGUAACAAUUAGAAGGAAUCUGUAAAAUAUCAGUACCCCUUAUUAUAUAUGAAAAAAACAAACCAAGGAGGAGACGAGACAUAAAUUGAGCAGCAGAAAUUUCAUAACUGUCAAGGUGAUUUAUCAGAAGCCAGAAUCUGAAUAUGACUUGGCAUCUUCAACAAGCUUUCAAAGUCAAUUUUACCUGGUUUAGCAGUAUUAAUUGUUCUGUAACCGCAUAUCAAACGAACCUUCAUGAAUGUUCUAUUUACAGGUUCAUCCACCUCCAUUCCAUAGUAGCCAAAAGUCAAUAACAAAUUCAGGAUAGCCUCGCUCACAGGCUCAUUUACUUUCUAUCUAUAGUAACAAAUACGGAAUAGA
rnacentral:misc_RNA from 1 species